rnacentral:lncRNA from 1 species
AGGUAUGAUCCAAAAACAGAUAUGUGGACUGCUGUGGCUUCGAUGAGCAUUAGCAGAGAUGCAGUGGGAGUAUGCCUUCUUGGUGACAAGUUGUAUGCUGUUGGAGGAUAUGAUGGUCAAACAUACCUUAACACAGUGGAGUCUUACGAUCCUCAGACAAAUGAAUGGACACAGGUUGCACCAUUGUGCUUAGGAAGAGCUGGAGCAUGUGUUGUGACUGUGAAACUAUAGAUUGUUUCCUUUGAGAAGGUGAUUUUCUCCACUACGGACUCAACCGAUAUCUUUUUUCCUCAAGCCAACUAAGAAAAUGAGGUGCAGGAUAUCUACAACAACGAAGUGUUUGGUCUCCAACCUACAUACAUACAUAUUAUUCUUUUGGACCAAUAUUAAGCACUUUUUAAAGAAUUAUCUUUAUUACCUGCACAUAGGAAGAAUUAUAAGCAAAUCAGCUGCAACCAAGAUGUUGCCAGCAAGGGACCUCCAUUGAGGAAAUACUAAGAAAUGAGUGAACUCAUUGUGAACUCACUGGGAUAAUCAAAUGCUAUUGAUUUAUGGCCUUGACCCCUCAAACAUGCAGAGAAAUCAUGCCAUUAAUAAAUACAAUUCCACCGAUACAAUUGAGGAUACCCGUGGGUGAAGCAAGUUACAGAAUUCAACGCCGUAUAUUUAAUUUGCCUAUAAUAAACAUGUUUUGCUGUGGGUCUCUGAGCUAUUACAGUGCAGGCUAACAAACCAAUGCAAACCAUUGUCAGUGGCAGGUGUAAUGCCUGCCUUAAAAAUGAAGAUGUG